AGUCGAUCAAUACCUGUACUUAAAUAGUAAUGGAAAGCAUGAUUCCAGAAGAGAAAAACCAAGCCACGUAGCUGUCUUGGUAUGCUUGGCAUGCAGUGAUAUGCUUGAUAGAAAAUAGUAUUUCUAAUUUUUGACAACUUGGUAAGUAGAGAGAGAGGGAGAGAGAGCUCUUAAAAGCACACACAUAUACAACUUGGAAGACAGGACUUAUUUGGAAAAAUACAAAUUAUUGGAAUAAUGAAGUACUGUUUUAAGCCAUUUUAUAUAAGGUUAAGAUGUUGUAUAAAAUAAUUAUUUUCAUCUUAUGUGAUAAAGCAAGACAAAGGAAAAAGAAAAACUGUUUUAAGUUAGAUCAGCAUUUCCCAAACUAAUACCCAAAGGAACACUGUUUCAUGAGAUGUUAAAAUAUAUGCCUUGAAAAAAAUUGUGUGGAUCAAAGUUUGAGGAUUAGUAUAUCUUAAAAAUCUUGGGGGUGGGGUGGGGUGUGGGCAAACCAAACCUUUUUUUUUUCCCCAGUUAAGUAUGACUAUUUCUGUUUCUAGGAGUGAUCUGUGGGGGAGAAACAGCUUGGGAAAUGCUGAAAUUUCUGAUGGUUAAGGUCUCCUCUGAUUUCCCUCAGUGACUUUAACAGUAAAGCCUGUCCAGCAUCCUCACAUUACAGGUACCUGAAUGCCUCAACAGCAAGACGUUAGUUUCCACCCUACCCUAGCCCUUGGUUCCCUCCAGUGUUUGCUGUGUGUCUAUUAUGUGCCAGGGACCGUACUCUGCCCUGGAGAUGUAAAGAAGGCGGGCUGUGUGAUCCUUGCCCUCAUGGGAUUCAAGAGUCUACUGAGACAAACCAAAAGCACAACACUCACCCAUUACCUUGGUUAUGAACUUCUGCAAGGAACUAGGACAACCCCCACUGUGGUUCCAACUUGCCCUGUUGCCACUUCUGUCAUUUCCUUACCCCUGAGGUAUCUGCUUUUAUUUUUUAAAACAACUCUUAUGAAGACAUUCAGUUCUUUAUAUUCUCUCUGGCUGUCAGCUUCCCUUGGGCUUUCCUUGCCCAGCUUGGGAGCCCUGGGCAGCUCUUUAAAUGUCACUAAGUUUGGAACUCCUUUAAUUCCAACUCUGACCCAUUGGAUUCCUUCUCCUCCCCUGGGCUGCUGGACACUCAGAAAAUGCCAACUUGCUUCAUUACAAAUGCAUACUUGAACUCAGCUGGGCCCUGAACUUACGUCUUAGGUCUUUUCCUUCCUAAAUGUCUUCCAUCUUUCCCCGCCUAAAUUAAUUCAAGAGUAGCUGUUUCCAGUGUUUUCCAUUCUCCUUCAUUUCUGACACCACCAUUUGCAUCCCUACUCUGUCUCUGGCCUUGCCUAUCCCUCAUAGGGUCCAUCUGCUUGGAGUUCUUGGUAAAGCUUCUGCUAACUUCAUUCAGCCUCUGCAACCCCAGAGAAAGGAGGAUUGCUCUGUCUUGAUUCCAUCCUUUACUGCCUCGACUACUACUGUGACAGCUUUUGUUUUGUUUGUAUUUUUUCCCUUUCUUUGGCAUACAAAUAGACUCAAAUUUCUCUUAUCCUAGCCAACAAAACCUUAUGUAUCACCCUGUCUGCCUCUUAAGCUACAUUUCCAUCUUUCUAAUAGAUUAAUCCUGAGCACCCCAUACUCACAGCUUACCACUUUCCCACCCCAUUGAUUCCUAUCCCCAUCAUGCUCUUUCAAAGGUAAUCAAUGAACAUUUGUCUUUCUCGUAGCCCCUCCAUCCCUGCCUCUACCCUAGUGGUGUAUAUCCUUUCCAAUAUUUUCAUGAGCACACAGAGACAUACCUAUUUACAUGUUCAAAUAUACAUAGGUUAUUAUUACAUAGUGAUAAAUGGAACUGGGCUGAUAUUGGGCUAUGAUUCACUCUCCCUCCUCUUCACUUAGCAAUUUAUCAUGGAAUUCUUUUCAGGGUAAAACACUCAGAUUUAUCUCAUUUUAAAAAAUGGCUGCCUAAUAUUUCAUUCUAUGGAUGCACACACAUUUAACCAUUUUCUCACUGAUAUUUAGGCUAUUCUUUAUGUUCUGUGAUUGGUAAUGAUGGAAUAAAUCCCUUUUAGAUAAAUCUGUAGGAUACAUUCUUGGACAUGGACUACUAGAUUGAAGUAUAUGUGCACCAAAAAAUUCAAUAAAUUCGAACGAAAUAUCGUCCAAAAAAGACUUAAUAACUUAAGCGCCCAAUGACAAUGUUUGCCUAAGUGUCCAUGUCUCAUCAGCAAUGGAUGUUAAAAUAGAUUUUAAUUUUUACUAGUCUAAUAGGCAAACACUGUCAUUUCCUUAUUGUAUUUUUUUAAUUAGCAAAGAUUUUCAGAGCCAUUUUAUAUUUUGUCCUUGGAGAACAAAGUAUGCCUGUUCUUUCAUUCUGUUAAUUCUCCUUUCUGAUUACAGAAAUUUAUCUUACAUUAAAGGGUAGUCACCUUUUUUCUAUCAUGCUUUGUUUAUAUUUUGUCCCAGUAUACCACAUUUUUAUUUUUUUUAACUUUCUUUGUGGUGUCUUGAGGAGCAAGAAGGUGUUAAUAUUUAUGUACCCAAAUAUCUAUUUUUCCCUUUCAGCUUCCUAUCUUAUAAACCAUUCUCUACCCCAAGUUAUAAAAAUAUUUGUCUAUAUGUUCAUCUUGGUUUUUUACAUUUAUAUUUUAUUUUUAUACAUGGCCUAGGAUCUAACUACUUUCCCCCAAAUGGCCAGCUGUUAUACACCAUUUAUUAGAGACUCUGUUCUUUCUCUUUCCCUCACUGUUCAGAAAUGACAUGUUUGAAUUGGUUCCCGUCCAGGCCUCAUCCCUUUCAAUCUCUAUAUGGCAGCUGCUUCUAUGUCUUCCUGGGUGGAGUAUUUCUCUGGCUCUUUUUCAUUUCUCUAAAUCUCUGUCAAGAUUCCUAAUUGAUCCAUUAUUGGCUCCUCUUCCUCCUGUUUUGCAAUUUUCUAUACUUGGCUGUCUCUUUUCUCUUUUCAGAUUCCCUCUUUGCCAUCUCAGAGAGCUCCAACAAUCUGCUCUAUGUAAAGGACCUCCACAUCCACAUCUGCAGGCCCAUAGCCAGCCAUGUGUUUCCUGGAAGUCACCCGUGAGGGGCUGGUUAAGAAGCCCAUCAAGUUGCCUAGGGUAUGGGGGUUCAUGAUCUCACGUGGUGGAUGACCUGUCCACAUCUCCAAAUCAACAUGCCCAGACACACCUGUGCACCUGGCUCCGCCACGGGCCUCUUACGUGGGCUAGCAGCAACACUCUUCUCAGCCACCCUACUGUCAACCCUCAGGAUCAUCUUGUGCCAAGGUCCCUCACACCCAGGCACCCAUUUGGUCAUUUGGUUUCACAAGCGUCUUCUCUGCCAUUUAUACAGGCAAACGCACUCAGAGCUCUGUACUUCACUAGCACCAUGACCAAUUAGUCUCCCUGACUCCUCUCAUCGGCUACAGUGGAGUUGCGGUAGGAAUAUUAGAAUCUUAAACUAUUAUUAGUAACAUAUAAAAUGUCAUUUAUACAUAUAUAUAAGAGCCAUGAGUGCCUGAUAAGUAGACAGUUGUCACAGCUUAACUGUAUGUGUCGUUUCUUUACCUGGUAGUUUAUUGCAACCACAGUACUCAGGUUUAA